ACUCCUGCGGGAGGCAGCAGUGGGGAAUUUUGGACAAUGGGCGAAAGCCUGAUCCAGCAAUGCCGCGUGUGUGAAGAAGGCCUUCGGGUUGUAAAGCACUUUUGUCCGGAAAGAAAUCCUUGGCUCUAAUACAGUCGGGGGAUGACGGUACCGGAAGAAUAAGCACCGGCUAACUACGUGCCAGCAGCCGCGGUAAUACGUAGGGUGCGAGCGUUAAUCGGAAUUACUGGGCGUAAAGCGUGCGCAGGCGGUUUGCUAAGACCGAUGUGAAAUCCCCGGGCUCAACCUGGGAACUGCAUUGGUGACUGGCAGGCUAGAGUAUGGCAGAGGGGGGUAGAAUUCCACGUGUAGCAGUGAAAUGCGUAGAGAUGUGGAGGAAUACCGAUGGCGAAGGCAGCCCCCUGGACCAAUACUGACGCUCAUGCACGAAAGCGUGGGGAGCAAACAGGAUUAGAAACCCCAGUAGUCCCAUGAU
rnacentral:rRNA from 1 species